rnacentral:rRNA from 1 species
GACGAACGCUGGCGGCGUGCUUAACACAUGCAAGUCGAACGGAAAGGCCCUGCUUUUGUGGGGUGCUCGAGUGGCGAACGGGUGAGUAACACGUGAGUAACCUGCCCUUGACUUUGGGAUAACUUCAGGAAACUGGGGCUAAUACCGGAUAGGAGCUCCUGCUGCAUGGUGGGGGUUGGAAAGUUUCGGCGGUUGGGGAUGGACUAGCGGCUUAUCAGCUUGUUGGUGGGGUAGUGGCUUACCAAGGCUUUGACGGGUAGCCGGCCUGAGAGGGUGACCGGCCACAUGGGGACGGAGAGACGGCCCAGACGCAUACGGGAGGCAGGAGGGGGGAAUAUGGCACAAGGGGCGGAAGCCUGAGGCAGCAACGCCGGGUGCGGGAGGACGGCCUUCGGGUGGGAAACCGCUUUCGCCUGUGACGAAGCGUGAGGGACGGGAAUGGGGAAAGAAGCACCGGCGAACUACGG